rnacentral:rRNA from 1 species
GUGGGGAAUAUUGGACAAUGGGCGAAAGCCUGAUCCAGCCAUGCCGCGUGUGUGAAGAAGGCCUUCGGGUUGUAAAGCACUUUUGGCAGGAAAGAAAUAGUGCGUGCUAAUACCAUGCGCGAAUGACGGUACCUGCAGAAUAAGCACCGGCUAACUACGUGCCAGCAGCCGCGGUAAGACGUAGGGUGCAAGCGUUAAUCGGAAUUACUGGGCGUAAAGCGUGCGCAGGCGGUUUUGUAAGACAGGUGUGAAAUCCCCGGGCUCAACCUGGGAACUGCACUUGUGACUGCAAGGCUAGAGUGUGUCAGAGGGAGGUGGAAUUCCGCGUGUAGCAGUGAAAUGCGUAGAGAUGCGGAGGAACACCGAUGGCGAAGGCAGCCUCCUGGGAUAACACUGACGCUCAGGCACGAAAGCGUGGGGAGCAAACAGGAUUAGAAACCCGUGUAGUCC